rnacentral:other from 1 species
GUAUCCCUGCUGUGUGCGUGGCGCUUCGAUGUAACUUUGAGCCAACACCUUUAUACCGGGAGCCCGAUGUAACAAGAGACAAUGGCAUGCUCUUGAUGUCAAAGAGAAGCCAGAAUACUUGGACAGGGCACCCACUUAAAUAUAAGGGUUCAAAGUCCAUCAGUUGCCCGGCACGUGCGGGGACGUU